GAUGAAGAACGCAGCGAAAUGCGAUAAGUAGUGUGAAUUGCAGAAUUCAGUGAAUCAUCGAAUCUUCGAACGCACAUUGCGGCCAUAGGUAUUCCUUUGGCCAUGCCUGUUCGAGCGUCAUUUACACCCUCAAGCCUAGCUUGGUGUUGGGCGUCUGUCCCGCCGUUUUCGCGCGCGGACUCGCCUCAAAGUCAUUGGCGGCGGUCGUGCCGGCCCCCUCGCGCAGCACAUUUGCGCUUCUCGGAGGCCCGGCGGAUCCGCGCUCCAGCAAGACCUUUCACGACUUGACCUCGGAUCAGGUAGGGAUACCCGCUGAACUUAAGCAUAUCAAUAAGCGGAGGA
rnacentral:misc_RNA from 1 species